rnacentral:lncRNA from 1 species
CAUGAUCCAACUUCUAAGAAAGUGCCUCUACAUUUUCCAGCUCAAGGUGAUUCCUCAAAGUGUCAAGAAUCUUGUUCUAUGUGGCUAUUGGAAUCACAUCAUGUGGUAUCAUGAGUCUUAGGUUCUUCUUGUUUAAUUGUUGAGUUGUGUGCACUUUAUUUCAAGAGCUCUUUUUAAUUUCUUGCAAUUUAAGUUUCUGUUUUAGAAUUUUAAUUGAGUAUUCUUGCUGUUUUUCUUUUGCUCCAAGUGUUU